CCUUCGAUAGCUCAGCUGGUAGAGCGGAGGACUGUAGUUCCUUAGGUCGCCGGUUCAAAUCCGGCUCGAAGGA